CCUACGGGUGGCAGCAGUGAGGAAUAUUGGUCACUGGACGAGAGUCUGAACCAGCCAAGUAGCGUGAAGGAUGACUGCCCUAUGGGUUGUAAACUUCUUUUAUAUGGGAAUAAAAUGUUCCACGUGUGGGAUUUUGUAUGUACCAUAUGAAUAAGGAUCGGCUAACUCCGUGCCAGCAGCCGCGGUAAUACGGAGGAUCCGAGCGUUAUCCGGAUUUAUUGGGUUUAAAGGGAGCGUAGGUGGAUUGUUAAGUCAGUUGUGAAAGUUUGCGGCUCAACCGUAAAAUUGCAGUUGAAACUGGCAGUCUUGAGUACAGUAGAGGUGGGCGGAAUUCGUGGUGUAGCGGUGAAAUGCUUAGAUAUCACGAAGAAAUCCGAUUGCGAAGGCAGUUCACUGGACUGCAACUGACACUGAGGCUCGAAAGUGUGGGUAUCAAACAGGAUUAGAUACCCUUGUAGUC
rnacentral:rRNA from 1 species